CCUACGGGCGGCAGCAGUAGGGAAUCUUCCACAAUGGGCGAAAGCCUGAUGGAGCAACGCCGCGUGGGUGAAGAAGGUCUUCGGAUCGUAAAACCCUGUUGUUAGAGAAGAAAGUGCGUGAGAGUAACUGUUCACGUUUCGACGGUAUCUACCCAGAAAGCCACGGCUAACUACGUGCCAGCAGCCGCGGUAAUACGUAGGUGGCAAGCGUUAUCCGGAUUUAUUGGGCGUAAAGGGAACGCAGGCGGUCUUUUAAGUCUGAUGUGAAAGCCUUCGGCUUAACCGGAGUAGUGCAUUGGAAACUGGGAGACUUGAGUGCAGAAGAGGAGAGUGGAACUCCAUGUGUAGCGGUGAAAUGCGUAGAGAGAUGGAAGAACACCAGUGGCGAAAGCGGCUCUCUGGGCUGUAACUGACGCUGAGGUUCGAAAGCGUGGGUAGCAAACAGGAUUAGAUACCCUGGUAGUC
rnacentral:rRNA from 1 species